rnacentral:rRNA from 1 species
UUUCUGGAGACAAACAACUGCGAAAGCAUUUGCCUAAAAUACUUCCAUUAAUCAAGAACGAAAGUUAAGGGAGUGAAGACGAUCAGAUACCGUCGUAAUCUUAACCAUAAACUAUGCCGACUAGGCUUUGGAUGAAAGAUUUUAAAAUAAGAAUUUUCUCUUCGGAGUUUAUUCUUAGAUUGCUUCCUUCAGUGCCUUAUGAGAAAUCAAAGUCUUUGGGUUCUGGGGCGAGUAUUCGCGCAAGCGAGAAAGUUAAAAGAAUUGACGGAAGGGCA